GUGGAAAAAGCACUUGAAUCCCUCCAAUUGAAUGAAUUGCACUAUGAAUUGAAUGUGUUACUAUAGCUUUCACAUCCUAUGUUCAAAAACAAAAAUGUGUAUUAAAUUUCUGAGGCAUAAGUUAUCAUUAUUUCCUUGUUCCAAAUAACUUCGUAAAAAGAAUUUCAAAAAUAUUGACAUUUUUAAAGCCCUCAGUUAUAUAAUUUUUGAUACACAUAUAAAAUAGAAACUUGAAAUAUCUUUGCCAACCACUUUAAAUCUGAAACUUACGUUGAGAUUUUUAUACUGAAAUAUGAAGCUAUAAAUGGAAAAAUAAUUUAGAAUAAGAAAUACCAUCAGAAGAUUUAAAGACAUUCAAGUAAUUUUUAUGUGGGGGAGUUAUAGUAGUACAUCUUUAAAGCAAUGUAUAUUUUUGUGUCUAACAGCUAUCUGUUCAGCUAAUCAAAGGAUUUUUUUUUCCCAAAGGAUACAUAACAGAUAAGAUAACAGAAAUGACAGAUUCCCUACUAAGGAGACUGACUAGUCCAAGGUAAAGUAUAUUGCCAAAAAAUUAAAAUAAAAAAAUAAGGUAGAAGGUAAAAAUGUCAUGCAAAGAACUAGAAGAUGAAAAAAAAAUACCAACUGUAGACCUAUAGGUUGGUAAUAUUUAAUACGUAAAAUAGAUACUGUUAAUACUCAAUGAAAAUAUGGAAACUAAGCUACUAUUCACCUACCUGGAGCAUUAGGGCAUGUGGGGAAUGCACAAAAAUUGAUGCAUUUUCCUUUGGUGAUGAUUCCAGGCAUAGCUGCGCAUCAGUGGCCUUAGCAUUAUAUGUAAAUGCAAUGCUACUUGCAAGUUUCCCAUCAUACAGAACCUGUUUAUGAUGUUCUGCCAAAUGAAUGUCACUCUCAGAUUUAAAUUUGAAGGUACUCUGAAAAAAUAAAACUAAAUUAAAUUCUCUUUUUAAAUGUAACAUAAUAAAACUCUAAAGUCUUAAAGCACAGAAGUAUUUAAGAUAAUAAAGAAUUUGUUUUGACCCUUCCAUGUGUCAGGUAUUAGUCAAUGGUAUUAUAUUAUUUUGUUAGCUCACUUCAGUUCUAGAAGUUAAAUUGUACUCAGUAUGCUAAUAAACACACUCAGAUCUUCAUAUUCUCAUUUUUAUUGUUUUUUUGAUUAUCUACAAAAUAAUUUUAUUAGAAAAAAAUGUACAUUCAGAUGUUAUUAAAUAUCAAGGGAGUUUGAUUUAAUACUUCAUGACAUAAAUUUAAUGUUUCUUGUUAACACAUUCACAAGUAUUUACAUGAGUAUACAGUACCUGGGACAUCAAUUACUCAUAUAGAAAAAUGAGUAUCAUUUAAGACUAUGAAGAAUAUUUAUGUGUAGAAAUAUUUAGCUCUUAAGUAUAGCAACAUAUUGAAUAACAAUACCAGUCUACAAAAGCAUCAGAAAGUCAUGUUAAACCCAGAAGUUCAUAUAUAUAUAUAUAUAUAUAUAUGAAUUUUAAUUUGUAUUUUAUUUGCAAAUUUGUAAUUUAAUGCAAAUAUUUAAAAACACUGUGCAUAUAUAAAGUGUCACCACUUUAUAUACAGAAUACAGAAAUAAUAAAGAUGUACUAGCUGUAAUAAAAAAAAGUAUUGGUAGAAAUGGUUAAAAUUUCGCUACAGAUACAAACCUGACAAUAACAAUGACAAGUAAUAUUUCACCUUUGCAACAAUUACAUGAUAUCAGUAUUUUUAUUAUUUUCAACCUAACAACUAUGAAAACUGAAUGUUAGAAAAAUUAAGAUCUGGAAUAGACGGUACCAGUAUCAAUGGAUCAAAAGUGAAGUGACCUAUAUUAUAAUCUAGGCUCUACCACUAAUUAUCUCUAGACCCUUAUUUGGUGUCAAAGAUAUCAUUUAACCAAUGUGGCUCGAUUGGUUACUGUUACAGUAAGAUUAAACCAAACGUUCCAAACCCACAUUCUUGUAGGAGGUGAACAGACACAGGCAUAAAUGAAGCAGGUCAAGUGGGGGUUUCUUCAGACUACAGAAGUACAUGUCCUGUCUAAAAGUGUUCCUCAAUGUUCAGCUCAAUUAUUGUACCAUGUUGCCAGUUCCUCAAUAUUUUUCAAAAGGAACAUGAACUCUGGACUUUUACAUAAAUAUAAAAUCACCUAAUUUGUAAUUUAAUGCAAAUAUUUAAAAACACUGGGCAAACCAAACAUGUCAGGUCAAAUUCAGCCCAUUUUGUACUUCUAAACUCGUAUCCAGAGACCCUUCCUUACUGGAACCUGGAUGCAAACCAUUGAAUUAGGCACAUGCAAAGGGAAGAGCAGCAUGAAUAAAUGAAAAUUUGUACGAAGGUAGCUAUGGAAGGAUGAUACUUUUUGUCCUUUAAAUGUAAGCACAUUUACAUAUUUUGAUAUUAGAAAUAAGCUAACCCAAUUGCAGUAUUUGGGAUCAGACCUUGCUUUCUGUUCUCAAUUAAAUGGAAGGCAGAACUUUAUCUGCCACCCCAGAGAUUUAAAAUGUAAUCUGUUUAUAUAACUCACAGAUUCACACCUCCCAAUCUAGAGGCAACAGUUGGGCUUAAAAUAUGUUCUGGUUUAAAAUAAAGAUUAUAUUUCAGUCCCUCUUGCACUAAAGAAUAGGUGACAAUUACAAUAAAAAAAGAUUUUUUUUAAAGUCUUCUUUGAGAGGAGUCAACAUGGUGGAGAAGUAGGGGGACCCAAAGUUCCCUUAUCCCUCAAACACAGCAGUACUGAGGUCAGGAGACUUAGAAUUUCAGGAAUCUCGGCUACAGAGUGACAGAAACAUCUCAAGGGGCCCUUGGUGACAAAUUGGUAGGCCAUAGGUGCGUGAUUAUGAAUUGGGAGAGAUAAAACACAUGGCGUAGGCAGAGAGGAGAGGGAUCCCCUUCUGUGGAUAGACAAAAGGAAGAGAAAGAGAGGGUGUGGAAGUGUAGGAUUGUAUUUGAACAAGAGAAAACCCACAGACUGGGAAACGGGAAAAAAGGAGAAAGAACCAAUUUCUAACACAAUCCAGAGUUGCAGGACUUUCUCUGGACUGGGAGCAGACACACUGUACACUCUCCUGAUGGGGAGGAGGAGCCAGCCCCAGCCUGGGUAGCUAGCUCAGAGGGCAGUCAGAGAGAGCAGUCGUCUCCCUUGGGUGCUGUGGUAAGAAGGUAUAUAGUAGCUCCACGGACAAAAGAUCCUGCAGACACCCACCAGCCAGAGGCCCUCUGUCUGCUGGCUGGGCAAAAUGGCACUACACUGGAACUGGGGCAUUGGAGCAGGAUCCUUUAAAUUCAGGGCCAGUCUGAAUCCCAGCCAAGCGCCUGGGAGGCACAGGAAGCCGUGGAACGGGACAAACGGGACACACGGGCUGCUCGUGCAGGUGCCGCACUGUGAGAAUAGCCUGAACACAGUGGUUUGGGUCAUCUGGUCUGGGGAGGAGAGACUGGGGUGUCAAUAUUUUUCUCCCCAUCACCAAAAAGGUGGGGCUUCAGAGAACAGAAAACAGGCCCACUGUGGAGGCUGGACCCGCCUAUACCAAACCACGCCCCUCUUUGCUUGGUAGCUGAGUAUCUACCAGAGCAAGAUUGACAAUGACAGAACCAGAUGGCCCCUCCUGCAGACCAGUAGAGUCACCAGUUCCAAGGCACCGUCAGAUAUUGGUCUAGCAGUUUUGCAUUUUCUGAUUUGAUUCUUGGUCAACUCUAAUUUUAUAUAUAACAUAUAUGUAAUAUUUUUUUCCUUCCCUUUCUUCCUCUUCUUUCUUCCCUUCUCUAUUCUGGUUGUUGGUUUGUUUAACCAAACAUUUUUAAUCUAUUCUUUUUAUACUUCCUCUAUAUCUCCUUCUUAUUUAUUUUCCUCUCUCUCUCUCUCUCUGAAGAGAGAGACUCCAAAACACAUCCUGAAGGACCAGACCCUGGACAGUGUAUGACCCCUUUUUAAUAUAAUAGUGCUCGCCGGUGCAGGACAUGUAAUAGGGUAUUAAAACACAUAAGGGACAGAAAACUAGCCAAAAUGAUGAAAACAAAGAAUUCUCCUCAAAAGAAAUUCCAGGAAGAAAUGACAGCUAGAGAAUUGCUCAAAACAGAUAUAAACAAUAUAUCUGAUCAAAAAAGAAUAAUUGUCAUAAGAUUAAUAGCUAGGCUUGAAAAAAAGCUUAGAAGACAGCAGAGAAUCUAUUGCUACAGAGAUCAAGGAACUAAGAAAUAGUCACGAUGAAUUAAGAAAAUGUUGUGCAAAAUAAACUAGAGGUGGUGACAGCAAGUAUGGAGGAAGCAGAGAAGAGAAUAAGUGAAAUAGAAGACAAAAUUACGGAAAAUGAUGAAGCCGAGAAAAAGAGAGAUAAGAAAAUACUAGACAAUAAGGGGAGAAUUAGAGAACUAAGUGAUUCAAUGAAAUUUAAUAAUAUCCAUAUCAUAGGAGUUCCACAAGAAGAGAGGGAGAAAGGGGCAGAAGGUUUACAUGAACAAGUUAUAGCUGACAAUUUUCCUAAUCUGGGUAAGGAAGCAGACAUCCAAAUCCAGAAGGCACAGAGAACUCUCUUCAGAUUCAACAAGAAUAGGUCUUUGCCAUGGCAUUAUCAUAGUGAAACCAGCAAAAUACAAAGAUAGAGAAUUCUGAAAGCAAGUAGGGACAAAUAGGCUUUAAUCUACAAGAGUAGACACAUAAAGGUAGUAGCAAACCUGUCUGGUGAAACUUGGCAGGCCAGAAGGCAGUGGCAGGAAAUAUUCAAAGUGCUGAAUAGAAAAAAUACGCAGCCAAGAAUCCUUUAUCCAGCAGGGCUGUCAUUCAGAAUAGAAGGAGAGAUAAGGUCUUUCCAAGACAAACAAAAACUGAAGGAGUUCAUGACUACUAAGUCCACUCUAUGAAUGGAACGUUGCAAAGACUACAAAGGACCAGAGACAUUACCACAAGCAUGAAACCUACAGGUAACAAUGACACUAAAUCCAUAUCUUUUAAUAACUCUAAAUGUAAAUGGGCUAAAUGCCCCAAUCAAAAGACACAGGGUAUCAGAAUAGAUAAACAAGAUCCAUCUAUAUGCUGUCUACAAGAGACUCAUUUUAGACUUGAAGAGAGGGGAUAGAGAACCAUCUAUCACACUACUAGAAGUCAAAAGAAAGCUGGAGUAGCCAUACUUAUAUCAGACAAACUAAAUUUUAAACUAAAGACUGUAACAAGAGAUGAAGAAGGGCAUUAUAUCAUAAUUAUGGGGUCUAUCUAUCAAGAAGAGCUAACAAUUAUAAAUGUUUACACCCCCAACAUGAAGGCAACCCAAAUAUAUAAAUCAGUUAAUCACAAACAUAAGCAAUCUUAUUGAUAAGAAUACAGUAAUUGCAGGGGACUUUAAUAUACACUAACAACAAUGAACAGAUCAUCUAGGCAGAAAAUUAAUAAAGAAAUAAUGGCUUUGAAUUAUACACUGAACCAGAUGGACUUGGCAGAUAUAUUCAGAACACAUCCAAAAGCAGCAGAAUACACAUUCUCCUCGAGUGCACAUGGAACAUUCUCCAAGAUAGAUCACAUACUGGGUCACGAAACAGCCUCAAUAAACAUAAAAGAACUGAGAUCAUACCAUGCAUAUUUUAAGACCACAAUGCUACGAAACUUGAAAUCAACCAUAAGAAAAAAUUUGUAAAGUCUCCAAAUGCAUGGAGGUAAAGAACAUUCUACUAAAGAAUGAAUGGGUCAAGCAGGCAAUUAAGGAAGAAAUUUAAAAAUACAUGGAAGCAAAUGUAAAUGAAAACACAACAGUCCAAAGCCUUUGGGAUGCAGCAAAGGCAGUCAUAAGAGGAAAAUACACUGCAAUCCAGGUGUAUCUCAAGAAAAAAGAAAAAUCCUAAAUACAAAACCUAAACAUACAACUAAAGGAACUAGAAGCAGAAGAGCAAAGAAACCCCAAAGCCAGCAGAAAAAGAGAAGUAGUAAAGAUCAGAGCAGAAAUAAACAAUAUAGAGUCCAAAAAAAUGGUAAAACAUAUCGAUGAAUCUAAGAGCUAGUUUUUUGAGAAAAUAAACAAAAUUGAUAAACCCCUAGCCAAACUUCUCAAAAAGAAAACAGAGAGAACCCAAAUAGAUAAAAUCACGAACGAAAGAUCACAACACCACAGAAAUACAAACAAUUAUUAAAGAAUACUAUGAAAAAUUAUAUGCCAACAAACUGGACAACCUGGAAGAAAUGGACAAAUUCCUAGACACCCAAACACUACCAAACUCAAACGGAAAGAAAUAGAAAAUUUGAACAGACCCAUAAUCAGCAAAGGUAAUGAAUCAGUUAUCAAAAAUCUCCCAAUAAAUAAGUCCUGGGCCAGAUGGCUUCCCAGGGAAAUUCUACCAGACAUUUAAAGCAGAGUUAAUACCUAUCCUUCUCAAGCUGUUCCAAAAUAUAGAGGUGGAAGGAAAGCUUCUGGACUCAUUCUAUGAAGCCAGCAUUACCUUGAUUCCCAACAGACAGAGACCCCACUAAACGGAGAGUUACAGGCCAUAUCCCUGAUGAACACGGACGCAAAAAUUCUCAAUAAGAUACUAGCCAAAUCGAAUUCAACAGUACAUUAAAAGAAUAUUCACCAUGAUCAAGUGGGAUUCAUUCCUGGGCUGCAGGGCUGGUUCAGUAUUCACUAAUCAAUCAAUAUGACACAUCACAUUAAUAAAAGAAAAGAUAAGAACUAUAUGAUAGUGUCAACAGAUGCAGAAAAAGCAUUUGACAAAAUACAGCAUCCUUUCCUAGUAAAAACCCUCAAGAAAGUUGGGAUAGGAGGAACAUACCUUAACAUCAUAAAAGCCAUGUAUGAAAAGCCCACAGCUAACAUCAUCCUCAAUGGGGAAAAACUAAGAGCUUUCCCUCUGAGAUGAGGAACAUGACAGGGAUGUCCACUCUCACCACUGUUGUUUAACACACUAUUGUAAGUCCUAGCUUCAACAGACAACAAAAUGAAAUCAAAGGCAUCCAAAUUGGCAAAGAAGUAGUCAAACUUCUUUGACACACUCUACAUGGAAACAUCACACUCUACAUGGAAAGCCCGAAAGAUUCCACCAAAAAUGCAGUUAGAAAUGAUACAUGAAUUCAGCAAAGUUGCAGAAUACAAAAUCAAUGUACAGAAACCCGUUGCUUUCUAUACAUCAAUAAUAAAGCAAUGGAAAGAAAAAUUAAGAAAUUGAUCCCAUUUACAAUUGCACCAAGAACCAUAAAAUACCUAGGAAUAAACUUACCCAAAGAUGUAAAAGAUCUGGAUGCUGAAAACUAUGGAAAACUUAUGAAGGAAAUUGAAGAAGACACAAAGAAAUGGAAAACCAUUCCAUGCUCAUGGAUUGGAAGAACAAAUGUUGUUAACAUGUCAAUACUACCCAAAGCAAUGUACACCUUCAGUGAAAUCCCAAUCAAACAAUUCUAGCAUUCUUCUCAAAGCUAGAACAAACAAUCCUAAAGUUUGUAUGGAACCACAAAAGACCCCGAAUAGCCAAAGUAAUGUUGAAAAAGAAAACCAAAGCAGGAGGCAUCACAAUCCUAGACUUUACCCUCUACUACAAAAGCUGUAAUCAUCAAGACAGUAUGGUAUUGGCACAAAACCAGACACAUAGACCAAUGGAAUAGAAUAGAGAACCUACAAUUGGACUCACACAUGGACAGUGAACCAAUCUUUGACAAAACAAAAAAGAGUAUCCAAUGGAAAAAAGACAGUCUCUUUAGCAAAUGGUACUGGGAGAACUAGACAGCAACAUGCAGAACAAUGAACCUGGACCACUUUCUUACACCAUACACAAAAAAAAACUCAAAAUGGAUGAAAGACCUAAAUAUGAAACAGGAAGCCAUCAAAACCCUAGAGGAGAAAGCAGGCAACAACCUCUUUGACUUCAGCCGCAACAACUUCUUACUUGACACCUCUCCGAAGGCAAUGGAAAUAAAAGCAAAAAUGAACUACUGGGACUUCAACAAGAUAAAAACCUUCUGUACUACAAAGGAAACAAUCAACAAAACUAAAAGGCAACUGAUGGAAUGGGAAAAGAUAUUUGCAAAUGGCAUAUCAGAUAAAGGUUAGUAUCCAAAAUCUAUAAAGAACUUAUCAAACAUCCUAAAAACAAAUAAUCCAGUGAAGAAAUGGGCAGAAAACAUGAAUAGAUACUUUUCCAACGAAGACAUUCAGAUGGCCAACAGACACAUGAAAAGAUGCUCAAUGUCACUCAUCAUCAAGGAAAUACAAAUCAAAACAACACUGAGAUACCACCUCACACCUGUCAGAGUGGCUAAAAUUAACAACUCAGGAAACAGAUGCUGGCAAGGAUGUGAAGAAAGAGGAACCCUCUUGCACUGUUGGUGGGAAUGCAAACUGGUGCAGCUGUUCUGGAAAACAGUGUGGAGGUUCCUCAAAAACUUAAAAAUAGAAUUACUCUAUGACCUAGCAAUAGCACUACUAGGAAUUUAUUCAAAGGAUACAGGAGUGUUGAUUCACAGAGGAAUAUGUACCCCAAUGUUUAUAGCAGUGCUUUCAACAACAGCUAAAUUAUGGAAAGAGCCCAAAUGUCCAUCAGCUGAUGAAUGGAUAAAGAAGAUGUGGCUUAUAUAUACAAUGGAAUACUAUUUGGCAAUGACAAAGGAGGAAAUCAUGCCAUUUGCAACAACGUGGGUGGAACUGGAGGAUAUUAUGCUAAGUGAAAAAAGUCAGUCAGAGAAAGAUAUCACAUAUUUUCACUCAUAUGUGGAAUCUGAGAAACUUAACAGAAGACCAUGGGGGAACAGAAGGGGGAAAAUAGUGUCAAACAGAGAGGGAGGCAAACCAUAAGAGACUCUUACAUACAGAGAACAAACUGAGGGUUGACAACGGGGAGGUGGAGAGGGGAAGAGGGGAAAAUGGGUGAUGGGUAUCUGAGGAGGGCACUUGUUGGGAUGAGCACCUGGUGUUGUACGUAAGCGAUGUCAUGGGAAUCUACUCCCAAAGCCAAGAGCACACUGUAUACAUUGUAUGUUAGCUAACUUGACAAUAAAUUAUAUUUUAUAAAUAAAUAAAUAAAUAAAUAAAUAAAUAAAUAAAUAAGGAUUAUCUGAAUGAAAUUAUGAGUUAACUAUAUAAGGUAGUAAUAUUGGCAACAUAAAACCAUUUUAAUUUGUCUUCUUCACUGGUUGCCUUGGUAUUAUAAUAUCAACAUUUUAAUAUGUAUUUCAAUAAGAUUAUAAAUGCUCAAAAGGUUUAAUAUUUAUGCUUCUAACAUAAUCAUUUUCAAAAAAUUUUUCACAAAUAUGUUAGAAUUUUUACUUACAUUGCAAAGAACUGAUCAGAAGCAGAUUUAAUUAUUUUGGAGGAAUAAGACAUAUGAGUUUGUUUAUUGAAAUAACUAUUUCAGUAAAGGAGGACUAUUAGCUAUUUAGCUGAGGAAUUUGAGGAAAGAGUAUCUAUGACAACGAGACACUGGGGAAGCAGACUAAAUAAGGAAGAGGGGAGUCAAGGAGUUGGAUGACCCAAAAGCAAGUUGGAGUUUAACCAGGUAGAGUAGUGCUACCUCCUUAUGUUGAUGAUGUUACACCAAGAAAAGCAAUGUGUGGGACACCUGGGUGGCUCAGUUGGUUGAGGCACCGACUUUGGCUCAGGUCAUGAUCUCAUGGUUUGUGAGUUUGAGCCCCGCAUCGGGCUCUAUGCUGACAGCUCUGAGCCUGGAGCCUGCUUGGGAUUCUGUGUCUCCCUCUGUCUCUGCCCCUCCCCCACUCAUGCUCUGUCUCUGUCUCAGAAAUAAAUAUUUAAAAAAAAAUUUUUUUUAAAGAAAAGCAAUGUGUAGACAGGAACUGGAGGAAGAGCAACGUAAGUUCCAGCUAGUGGAGCUACAUUGUAUUAAGAGUUUGGGGGGAUUUGACACAAACAAAGGCAACAAAAGCAAAAAUAAACCAGUGGGACUAUAUCAGACUAAAAACUUCUGCACAGUGAAGGCAACCACCAACAAAAUGAAAAGGCAAGCUACCAAACAGGAGAAAAUACUUGCAAAUCAAUUUCCUGAUAAGGGGCUAAUAUAAAAUACAUAUAUAGAACUCAUGCAGCUCAACACCAAGAAAACAGUCUAAUUUAAAAAUAGGCAGAGGACUUGAAUAGACAUUUUUCCAAAACAGACAUAAGGAUGGUAACACAUUUCACUAAUUAGUGAAAUGCAAAUCAAAACCACAAUAAGCUGUCACUUCACACCUGUUGGAAUGGCUAUUACUGAAAAAACAAGACAUAACAAGUGUUGCCAAGGAGGUAAAGAAAAUCCUUUUGCACUGCUGGUGGGAAAGUAAACUGGUGCAGCAACUAUAGAAAAGAGUAUGAUGUGUUCUCAAAAACUUAAAACUAGAAUUACUAUAUGAUCUAGCAAUUCUACUUGUAGAUAUUCAUCCAAAAAAAAAAAUGAAAACACUAACUCGUAAAGAUAUCUGCACUCCCAUGUUCACUGCAUUGUUUACGAUAGCCAAGACAUGGAAGCAACUUCAGUGUCCAUAGAUGAGUAACUGCAUAAGGAAAAUGUUGUACAUGUAUGUAUACAAGGGGAUGUUAUUCAGCCGUAAAAACGAAUGAAAUCUUGCCAUUUGCAAUGACAUGAAUGGACCUUGAGGACAUUAUGCUAAGUGAAAUAAAUCAGAGAAAAGCAACUAUACAACCUUACUUAUAUGUGGAAUCUAAAGCAAGCAAGCCAACAAACAAACAGAAAGAAUUCACAGAUACAAAGAAUGGCCAGAGGUGGAGAGAAGAGAUAAAUAAAAUGGGCGAAGAAGGUCAAAGAGUAUAAACUUCUACUUACAAGAUGAAUAAAUUCUGAAGAACAAUAUAAAGAAUGUUGAUCACAGCUAACAAUACUGCAUUGUAUAUUUGGAAGUUGCUAAGAGAGCAGAUUUAAAAGUCCUCAGUACACACAAAAAAUUAUACCCAUGUGAGGUGAUGGAUGGGUCAGCUAACCUUACGAUGGCAGUCAUUUCACAAUAUACACAUGUAUCAGAUCAUUAUAUUGUAUGCUUUAAAUGAAUGGAAUGUUAUAUGUCAAUUAUAUCUCAAUAAAACUUGGGGAAAAGCUUUGAAAUUAAAAAAGUAAGAUACUGUCUUCUCAGUUUUGUACAGUGCAAUAAAUAAAUAGCUAAAAACAUUGGGCUCAAAAUUAGUUCGACUUAAGUCUGAAUCCCAACCCUAUCAAACACUAGGUGUGUAUCCAUCCCCAAGUUAUUUACCUGUCAUCUCUUAUUACACACCUUACAGACAAAAUAGUAAAUAGAGAACUUUGAACAAUACCUGGAUCUUUAAAAGCAACACAAAAUGGCAGCUGCUAUUUUUACCGCAUCCUUUCCUACUUAGUAUUAUACAAGUAUUUUUCUGUAAGAUAUUUUUUCAUAAAUGUCACUCACAAAAUAUAUACCAUAAAUUUUAUGUAAUGACAUAUGGUAGUGAACAUCCAGAUAUCUGUAACAUAGUUGCUAAUGAGGCAAAACCUCAUUGAAUAGAACCUAAUCGCCCAAACUGGAAUUACUUAACAUAAACAUGGGAAAAUGUUCCAGAACACUGCUAAACUCAACCAAAUUAAGUUUAUCUAAUAGCUACAAGAGCAGAGACUUGCUAUUUUCUAAUAACAUCUGAAAACUUCACCAAUGUUAAGAAAUAGCCAUUUCCAUUGAAUUAUGUAAGAAUAACAUAUAUAUGGCAAUACCUACUGCUCUCUCCAGUAUCGCUAUGUGACUAGUAUUACUGAUAUUAAUAGGUAAUGACACAACAUUCCAUGAAUUAUGUUUCCUACUGUGUAACUUAAGAGAAUGUUGCCACCUAUACAUUGGAGAAGUUUCCCUUCAAAAUGAAUAAUCUAGGGGCGCCUGGGUGGCUCAGUCAGUUGAGCGUCCAACUUCAGCUCAGGUCAUCAUCUCACAGUUCAUGGGUUUGAGCCCCCCCAUCAGGUACUGUGCUGACAGCUCAGAGCCUGGAACCUGCUUCGGAUUCUGUGUGUGUCUCUGCCCUCCCCUGGUCACAUUCUAUCUCUCUUUCUCUCUCUCAAAAAUAAAUAAAACAUUUUUAAAAGUUUUCAAAAAUAAAAAUUAAAAAUAAUAUGAAUAAUGCAUAUUAAUAAUAAUAUGAAGUAAAAUUACUUCAAACUCUAAUAUCUACAUUUCCAAACUUCUCUAGGAAAAUAUAUAUAUAGAAUCAAUCCAUUCUCUUACCACAGUUUUUUUUAUAAUUCCAAAUGAUUGGAAAAACAAAAUUCAUUAUUUUGAUAUUCAAAGUCUUCAAUAACUUGGUUUCAACCAAUCAUAAUCAUCCUCACAUCCCACCAUAAACCACUCAGCCUACUCUGUAUUCUACCAUGAAGCCAUGUCUGUUUAUGGAUUAAUCCAUAAACACACCCUAUACUCCCUUGAUUCUUUCCCUUUAAUCAUGCCCUCUUUCUCACAUUCUAUCAUCAUGUCCUGCUCACCAUCUGAAAUUUAUGUAUUUUUCAAGAACCCUAAAAAACUUUUUCCUAUGAAGAAUUCCUAAAGUCUUUGUAGCUGAAAUUAAUCAUCCUUUCACAAAACUUUAACAGCAUUUACAUUAUAUUUCCUUUCUGGUACACAUAUCAACUUUUAAUUAUAAACAUUUAGGAAUAUAAUUAUUCUCAUAAAGAGAGUAUAAGUUUGAUCAUUUUUAAUCCUCUAAAGCUUAGAACAAUUCCUUGAAUACAAUAAAUACGUAGUACACUGAUGAAAUUUACUCAAUGGCAUGCCCUGAAAUCAUCAUUACCAACCCUUAACAAGCAAGAUUAUAAAGAAAAGAUUAUAGUCACAAACAUGCCAACAAGUAGAUCAGCACAGAAAAUUUCACUGCAUGAAGUGCAGUCAGUUGUUUCACACAGUGGAUAAUUAUUCGUCCAAUCAAAUCUUUAAAAAUUAUGAUAACGGCAUAUAUAAAAUUAGCAGAAAUGCCAAGUAUCAGCACUAUAAUAACCACCGUAUUUCAAAUAUUAAAUUAGAGAAACACUGGUACCAACCACUAUCCAGGAGAAAUUUUUAACAGAAUGAUACCAAGAAACUACUUAUAUGAAACUGAUCAAUCAUUUCCCAAUAUUAAGCAAUUUCAUAUAACACAUUUUUCUAAUAUGAGUAAAAAGUUUUCAACAUGCAUGCAGUUGCACGGAAGAAUAGAUCUUGAUAGGCUGGUAAUUUUAAAAGUUAAACUGCAAAAUCAAUCAAUAUUAUAUAAUCAUAAAAGAUAUACUUUGCAGACAUGAUUUGAUUGGACAUCUGUGUAAUUAUAAUCUAGUAGAAUAAAACUCCAAAAUUUCUAUACCACUACUGUCAUUCGUUUGUACGACAAUUACUGAGCAGCUGAGGAUGUGGAGAUAAAGCUCUAACUGGGCUGACACUCCAUAGACUCAGACAACUGUGUGACCUCUACUACGCCUCUUCUGCUAUUAGUUAGCACCUACUUUCUGCUAGGGCUCGUGGAGCUUCACCCCAUAAAUGUACAACUCUACCCUGGGCAAAGAUGAACAGGGAACCCUCACAGACUUCUGCCUCUACCCCAACAGCUUUGUCCUUUUCUGCACCCUGUUCCACAUAUUCUAGCUGUUUGAGCUGCCCUUAAUUCUGAUCUCAACCUCCUCAGCUCAGCUUACCUCCACCUCCUAGUGCCUCAAUAAAAAUGUUGGCCCCAGCCAGAUACCAAGGAUGAAUAUCCAGCUCAUCUUCAAUAUAUUUCUACCUGCAAGGAUGUCAGGACUGUGCUAUGUGUAUUGACAAGUGUCAAAGAAACAGAUGGUUUGCAUAGUUUGCCCAUUUUUAUAGUUAUUUACAGCAGUAGGGCACAUUCACUACCAGUUACUCCAAAAAUGGAUAAAAUCAGGUUGGAUGUUUUCUGAAAUUAAUUAAUUAAGCCAGCACUUAUUUCUUUUUUAUUUUAGCCAUUCUGACUAAAAGUGUACAAGGUAUCUCAUUGUGGUUUUGAUUUGCAUUUCCCUGAUGAUUAGUGAUGUUAAGCAUCUUUUCAUGUGUCUGUUGGCUAUAUGUAUAGUCUUCUUUGAGAAAAUGUCUAUUCAGGUCCUCUUUCCAUUUUUUAAUUCGAUUGUUUGUUUUUUGGGAGUUGCAUUGAGUGAAUUCUUUAUAUAUUUUGGAUAUUAACCUCUUAUCAGAUAUAUCAUUUGUCAAUAUCUUCACUCAUUCAUUAGGUUGCCUUUUCAUUUUGUUGGUGGUUUCCUUCACGUGCAAAAGCUUUCCAUUUUGAUAUAGUCCUAAUAGUUUAUUUUUGCUUUUGUUUCCCUUGCCUUAGGAAACAUAUCUAGAAAAAUGCUGCUAAAGCCAAUGUGAGAGAAACUAUUGCCUAUGUUCUCUUUAAGGAUUUUUAUGGUUUUCAGGUCUCAUGUUUAGGUCUUUACACCAUUUUGAGUUUAUUUUCAGCCACUGUGGAAAACAGUAUGGAGAGUCUUCAAAUACUAAAAAUAGAAAUACUGUAAUCCAAUAAUUCCACUACUAGGUAUUUACCCAAAGACAGUGAAAUUACUGGGAUGCCUGAGUGGCUCAGAUGGUUGAGCAUCUGACUUCAGUUCAGGUCAUGAUAGCACGGUGCAUCAGUUCAAGCCGCACAUCAGGCUCUCUGCUGUCAGCACAGAGCCUGCUUGGCAUCCUUUGCCCCUCCCCUGCGCAUUCUCUCUCUCUCUCUCUCUCUCUCUCUCUCUCUCUGUCUGUCUCUCUUUCUCUCUCUCAAAAAUAAACAUUUAAAAAAAGAAAAUGAAAACACUAAUUCAGAAUGAUAGAUGCACCACUAUGUUUAUUGCAGCAUUAUUUACAAUAGCCAAGAUAUGGAAGCUGAUGAUUGCUAGAGGGGAACAGGGUGGAGGGUGGAGGAAUGGGCAAAAUAACUAGAGGGACUGGAAGAUACAAGUUUCCAGUUAUAGAAUAAAAAAGUCACAGGAAAAAAAGGCACAGCAUUAAUAACAUAGUCAAUGGUACUGCAAUAGUGAUGUGUCGUGAUGAAUGGUAGUUACACUUGCACUGAAUGUAGCAUAAUGUAAAAACUUGUCAACUCACUAUGUUGUACAUCUAAAACGUAUGUAACAUUGUGCCACCUACAGUCAAAUAAAAAUUUAAUUAAUUAAGAAACUGUGUAAUUGGAUAGGUUUUAGAAGAUUGUUUUGCAAAUUCUCCUCCUCAUCUCCACGUGAAAAAAAAUCAGUUAAAGAGUACCAAUGGAUCCAAAAAGGAACAACAACAACAACAAAACCAGCAUUUUCAGUUGGAUGGAUUUAUGAGAGGUAAUCGAGAGCAGAUUAUUCCCUACUAAAAUAAAUAAAACUCACUUAUUCCUAAUGAAUUUCAAAAAAUCUUAAAAGUUUCAUGAGCCUGACUGAAUCAGUUUUCAAGCUAUGUUCUCUAUGAAGCAUUUCUCAGUUCCUACAAUCAGAAUCCUUUUCCAUGAUCCCACUGGACUUACUGUUUUCAGAUUGUAUCAGGAUUUUAAAUUCAAUCAACUUCACUUUUUAGCUUUUUUGUAGGUCUUUCUCCCUUACUUGGUUAUAAGUUACUUGAAGGUAAUUUAGAGCUUUGCAUGUUCCAUAAUGCCUAUAAUAGUGCUCCAUGUAUAGAAAUGGCUUAACAAAUGUUCUCUGAAUUUUAAAGUUGUAUGAGGAAAUUCAUCCAAAUAGAAUUGUUUUUCCUCUAGUCAUUUCAAAGCUACUUCUAUUUUUUAAUGUUUAUUUAUUUAUUUUGAGGGGUAGGGGAAGGAGGGGCAGAGAGACAGAGAAUGAAUCCCAAGCAGGCUCCAGGCUGUCAGCAAAGAGACCACUGCGGGGCUCAAUCCCACCAACCAUGAGAUCAUGACCUGAGCGGGAAUCAAGAAUCAAACACUUAACCGACUGAGCCACCCAAGCACCACUAAAGUUACUUUUUAAAUGACUUUUCUUUAUCCAGAGAAAAUUCAGAAUUUAGAAUAAAAUUAUCCAUUCCUCUUUAUUUAAUAUUUUAGCAUUUUAAUUUUUAUUUUAUUAUUCUUUUUUUGAGAAUAUGCAUACCCUUUAUAUUAAGAUCAUUCUUUUAAGAUUACAAAUAUACUAUCCUAUUUCUUCUUUGAUUCUGCGUUUCUUUAUGGAUUCAAUUCGGUCAUUACACUUUUGUUAUCUACUAUUGCUAAAACCUACCACUUUCCAGUUUUUGUCUAUUUCAAUAUCUUUAUUUGACUUUGUGCCCUUUUCCUUUACUUGCUACAUGUAUGAAAGAGUUGGUUGCUUUGAGAAACACAGCAAGCAUUAAGUAUGAAUAUGAAAUCACCAAUGUUCUUCGCCACAAACUGCACUUAUAACCAGUAAAUUCUUUUUUGAGCUGAAAUUCUUGUACUAAUAAUUACUAAUAUAAUUCAUUCUUAUAAUCCUCAGUGAUUUAAGUGAAAAGUCCUAAAAAACACUAAAGAUAUCACUCUGGCUCCUGGUUACUAUCCUUUAAAAAUAAUGCUGAAAUAGCUUAUUAACUCUUAUCUUUUUUUAUAAUCCUAUCAUGCUUAAGAACUCAGAAUACCUGCUGUCUAAAAAUAAUGAUUGAAAUAAAAUACUGAAAAAUGGGUUACUAAAUAGUAAUUAGCUUUGGCAUGUUGGCAUUUUACAAUUCCGAAAUGUAUGUGCAUUCUUCUGUCUGGAAAAAAAACCUUAACCCUCAUUUUGUUUAUAUUGCUUCCAGUGAAAUAAACAAUGUUUAAUAUAUUCUCUAGAAGUUAUAAAAUCUUUUUGGGAAAUAUCAUAUAAGAAGUCUAAAACAACCUAUUCUUAGUUGAAAAAAAAUGUCCUUAAUUUUUUUCAGUCCAUGAUGCAAAUAUCAUAAUUCCCUGCUUUGGCUUGUAGGAGCAAAACUACCUCACAUUAUAAUUAACUAAAUACAACAUUUUUAGUUUAGUUUUUUUUUUUUUUAGUUAUGAUACAACUUAAGUGACUUAAUAAUUUUCUUAU
rnacentral:lncRNA from 1 species